AGUGAACGCUGGCGGUAGGCCUAACACAUGCAGGUCGAACGGCAGCACAGUAAGAGCUUGCUCUUACGGGUGGCGAGUGGCGGACGGGUGAGGAAUACAUCGGAAUCUACUUUUUCGUGGGGGAUAACGUAGGGAAACUUACGCUAAUACCGCAUACGACCUACGGGUGAAAGCAGGGGAUCCUCGGACCUUGCGCGAUUGAAUGAGCCGAUGUCGGAUUAGCUAGUUGGCGGGGUAAAGGCCCACCAAGGCGACGAUCCGUAGCUGGUCUGAGAGGAUGAUCAGCCACACUGGAACUGAGACACGGUCCAGACUCCUACGGGAGGCAGCAGUGGGGAAUAUUGGACAAUGGGCGCAAGCCUGAUCCAGCCAUACCGCGUGGGUGAAGAAGGCCUUCGGGUUGUAAAGCCCUUUUGUUGGGAAAGAAAAGCAGCAGGUUAAUACCCCGCUGUUCUGACGGUACCCAAAGAAUAAGCACCGGCUAACUUCGUG
rnacentral:rRNA from 1 species